UGGAGCUCCGACCCAUCUCCGCCAUUCUCCCCCGCCGCCGGCCGCCACAAGGCUAUCCCAAACACUAUCAUCCAACACAAUGAUUUGAAGCUCGUGCCGCCGCCUGCUGCCAUCCUAAAACAAAGGUGCUUUGUCAGCUUUGAUGAAGAGUGGUUGACAACCAAAUUGGGCUUCUUUGGGAAUUUUCAUUUUGAGAUUGAGACUUGCUAUAUUAUGUUAUUCCAAAAUACCCCUGUUUUUAAAAUCAUUUUAAAUGAUGUUUAUUUUCAUUCUCCUUUCUUUUUAUGGGUGAAUUUAAUUUUUUUCAAUGCCAAAAUUCAAGAGAACAAGCUUUCACUGUGGGGUCGAAUCAUGAUUUUCUUUCAUUUUUGUUUGAUAAAUUCAAAAUCUCAUCAAGUUUCAUUGGCCUUUAUCCACUUUAAUAUAGUUGAUAGAAGAAAAAACGGCAGUGUUUACAGAAAUUUCUCUGUGUUUUAAUUGUGUUGAUUGCUAUUAUUUUUUUGUUGGAUUACAAAAGUGGUAAAACUAGAAAUGUUCUACAAUCCAUUGUGGAGUCAAAUCAUGAAUUUCAUCUAUUAUUUGCACAUAAA